rnacentral:rRNA from 1 species
AACGAACGCUGGCGGCAGGCCUAACACAUGCAAGUCGAGCGAGGACUUCGGUUCUAGCGGCGGACGGGUGAGUAACGCGUGGGAAUGUGCCCUUCUCUACGGAAUAGCCCUGGGAAACUGGGAGUAAUACCGUAUACGCUCUAUUGGGGAAAGAUUUAUCGGAGAAGGAUCAGCCCGCGAUGGAUUAGGUAGUUGGUGGGGUAAUGGCCUACCAAGCCGAGGAUCCAUAGCUGGUUUGAGAGGAGGAGCAGCCACACUGGGACUGAGACACGGCCCAGACUCCUACGGGAGGGAGCAGUGGGGAAUCUUAGACAAUGGGGGCAACCCUGAUCUAGCCAUGCCGCGUGAGUGAUGAAGGCCUUAGGGUUGUAAAGCUCUUUCAGCUGGGAAGAUAAUGACGGUACCAGCAGAAGAAGCCCCGGCUAACUCCGUG